rnacentral:rRNA from 1 species
UACGGAGGAUCCGAGCGUUAUCCGGAUUUAUUGGGUUUAAAGGGUGCGCAGGCGGGAGAUUAAGUCGGCGGUGAAAUUUUGCAGCUCAACUGUAAAAGUGCCUUCGAAACUGGUUUCCUUGAGUGUGGAUGAAGUAGGCGGAAUUUGUGGUGUAGCGGUGAAAUGCAUAGAUAUCACGAGGAACUCCGAUUGCGCAGGCAGCUUACUAAACCAUAACUGACACUCAGGCACGAAGGCGUGGGGAGUCAAACAGGAUUAGAUACCCUGGUA